rnacentral:tRNA from 1 species
GGGAAUGUAACUUAUUGGUAGAGUGCUUGCCUAGCAUGCAUGAGGCCCUGGGUUCAAUUUCUCAGCACCA